rnacentral:lncRNA from 1 species
UCUCCCUCUCCCCCUCUCUCCCUCUCCCUCUCUUUCGCUUGAAUUUGUCCUACAUUUCGUAAUGUUACGUGCCUGCCAUCCUUAUCCUAUGCCAGAAGUACAACACCAGUCUCACCCCCAUUCCGGCGUGGAGUUCUCUGAGUUCGGUGGCACUUGGGAUAUUCCACUUCAGUGCCAUGAGAAGAAAAUGGUAAGCAAAAAGCAAAAGGAAUAAUGCAAAAAAAAAAAAAAAUUAUAAUGUUCUGGUAUCCAAUUGCUCCUGCUUCAGCCUUUUAUCCAAAGCCUUGAGAUGGAUCUGCCUCAUCCAGGAAGUUUUCCUGCUUCGUUAGAGUAUCUUCAUUUUCUUUAUCAGAUGCUGGCUGGCACUCCACGCCAGUGCACGGCUCCAUGGAAUGCCUGCUGUUGGACACUUGCAGAGCUCUGCCACCAAGCAACCUCCUGCAUUGGAAAUCGGGGGACUACUCCAGGAUCUUAUGCGUGCUUGCUGUUUGAAGCUGCAGAAAAGUGAAUAAUCAAUUAAGUAUUGAUUUCUUGUAAGAUUUGGUAAAUUUCAAAGGCAAGACAAAGAGGAUGGCUUAAGGAAACACCGCAGGGACUUGGCGUAAAUUAGACAACUAACGGAAGCGCAGAAUAAAAUAACACCUCAACUGAAGAUUUCCUUGGAAGAAUUAGCACUAGCUAUUGGAAGACAAUGGUGGAUUUAAUCAAAACAGCAGGCACGCAAGAAUUUUACCCGUGAACCAGAAAAAAGAGCUAAUUAUAACCACCUUUUCAAUGGAGCUAAUUUGACUGAAUGGAUGCAAAUGUGCUUUAUUUAUGGAUGAAGAAGCAAGCCUUACUGCAUGAUCUUGGGAUCAUCGGAUCUGCUAAGCUUUGCAGCUCCUGUUACCUUCAGUACAUUUUUUAUUUCCGGAGAAGGUAUUUAUAUGUAAACAACAGCUAACCAUGCAAAAGAUUCAUCGGAACAAUAUACUGUGGUAUAUGAGAUAUAAUCAUAAUUUUGCAGCCUCUCAGGAUUUCCUCUAACUUGGAGGUUUUGCAACCUUUGUGUGCAAUGGGUUAUGGUAAACAAUAAAUGAAUGAUGCUAAAG